rnacentral:lncRNA from 1 species
AGACAUUAGUCAUGCAGUGAGAGUUGUUAGCAGGUUUACGUCAAAUCUAGGUAAAGUUCAUUGAAAACUGUUAAAUGAAUUUUAAGAUAUCUAACUAUAACAAAAUGUUUAUAUCUACCUAUAGCAAAAUGUCAUUAACUUGUCCUUUUAUUUCUUUUAAUACAUCUCUUUUAUUUCUAUUAUUUCCACUAAUAUUUGGAAGAUAUAACAUUGGUUUGAAGAAUUUCAAAAAGAAAGACGGAAUAAGUUGUAGAUUCAACUCUCCCA